rnacentral:lncRNA from 1 species
CACUGACCAACAGCAAUGCUGCAGCCAAACCCAAGCUUCCAUCAAGCCAAAUUCAAAUACUGUAUAGUUGGCCCUCCUUACUGCAUCCUCAGAUUCAACAAUUUUUUUAAAGCAAUAUCUACAUAAAGUGAAGCACAGGAAAAGAAAGUAUGCCUGUAUCGGCUCCCAAUCUAGGAAAAGGUAAGACAAGCGAUUAGGUGAAUCCCAUGAGUCAAAUGUAGCUGAAUUAGGAAGACUAAAUCAGAGGAAAUAAAGCAUAAACCAUUUAAAUCAAAAUCAGAAUAAUAGUAAAAAUUUGAAAUAUAUUUGUUUUCAUGGAGCUAGCUGGGGGAAUGCAUCAAUCAUGGUUCUUCUUUAAUUUUUUUAAUGUUUUAUGAUACUUUGACAUCUUGAGGUCUUGCAGAUCCAGGCAGGGACUGCCCCUCCUAGAAUUAGCCAUUUCCUAGAGAUGGCAAACAUGGUGUCCGUGAGCAUCUUUUUGGCAAGCAAACUGACCAAUCCUGAGUCCAUACUCCCUUUAUAUGUCCCUUUAUCAGGUUUUGCAGUCAGGGACAGUAUGCCCCUUUCCUACAUCACCACAGGAUCAGGUACCAAACAUCUAAGGACUACCUCCAAAGCCCAGAAUCAUCUAUAGUAAUUCAAAGUAUCUCCUUCUAAGCUGGCUCAGCAUACCUACCCUGCCUCACUUACUUCUUCCCACAAAAAUAAUACAAUAAAAGCUCUGGUCCAUCCUCUCACUCCUCUUACUUCAUGACCAACUCUGGUGGUUUCCCAGGUGGCUAUGCAUGGCAUCACAUGGUAUACCGUCUUCUCUUGGGAACUGUGAGUAACAAAUUAUCUUCUCAAUGGCAGUAGCCUCAUAAUCUGUUUGCUUGCCAUUCCUGAAUAAAAGUGAAAUCCUAGAUACAUUUAAAACAAGGUGCCUUUCUCAUAUCUCUUAGAAAUAGCAGGUAAGCAAUCCUAUGUCAUAUCUUCUGCC